rnacentral:rRNA from 1 species
GGCAAACGGGUGAGUAACACGUGGGUGACCUGCCUUCGAGCGGGGGAUAACGUCCCGAAAGGGGCGCUAAUACCGCAUAACAUCCUGCCUUUGAAGAGGUGGAGAUCAAAGCUGGGGAUCGCAAGACCCGGCACUUGAAGAGGGGCCCGCGCCUGAUUAGCUAGUUGGUAAGGUAAUGGCUUACCAAGGCUACGAUCCGUAACCGGCCUGAGAGGGCGGUCGGUCACACUGACACUGACAUACGGGUCAGACUCCUACGGGAGGCAGCAGUCGGGAAUUUUGGGCAAUGGGCGAAAGCCUGACCCAGCAACGCCGCGUGAAGGAUGAAAUCCCUCGGGAUGUAAACUUCGCAAGAACGGGAAGAAUAAGUAGGGGACAAUACCCCCUAUGAUGACGGUACCGUUUGUAAGCUCCGGCUAACUCCGUGCCAGCAGCCGCGGUAAUACGGGGGGAGCAAGCGUUGUUCGGAUUUACUGGGCGUAAAGGGCGCGUAGGCGGUCAGCACAAGUCAGUUGUGAAAUCUCCGAGCUUAACUCGGAAAGGUCAACUGAUACUGUGCGACUAGAGUGCAGAAGGGGCAACUGGAAUUCUCGGUGUAGCGGUGAAAUGCGUAGAUAUCGAGAGGAACACCUGCGGCGAAGGCGGGUUGCUGGGCUGACACUGACGCUGAGGCGCGAAAGCUAGGGGAGCGAACGGGAUUAGAUACCCCGGUAGUCC